rnacentral:lncRNA from 1 species
AUCGGACUGCUGUCUGAGUUUGUUUCCAAUUCAUCCACUUUUUUUGCACUAUUUGCAAAAUGUAUGACGUAACUAACUCGACAGUGGCGAUUGAUUUGUGUAGUUGGUCGUAACCAGAAAAGGCAGUGAAAAUGACACACUUCUCCUUUCACAUUUUAAUUACGACCAAAAGGCUUUGUUUGAAAACGUAGCCUGACAACUCCGUAGCUGAACUAUCUGUAGAAUUUCACCCAGCAAUUAACAUGUUGACACAUCCUGAAAGAGAGAGAGACUCUGGACUCUGGAGCAGACACACCUGAGAGGCAUUAUUCAACCCUUGGUUGUUAUUUACAUAAACAUGUCACAGGAAAGUUGGUUGUGAUUGAUAAUGGAGAAGUGCCAGAGGAAAAGGCACAAAGCAUCUGGUAUUUGGUUGAGUGGUGAGGUCACUGGGGCCAUUUAGAGUCUAAAAUGGGAGUCCGGUUUUGUGUGAACUCGACUGACCUUGCUUAAGUACAGAGAACUGGUUUCUGGCUGUAAUGCUAAGGACCUGAAGUUAACAGCGUGGCGGAUGCUCUACAUUGCAUUCUGUCAAACUGCCUUGCCAUUGCCACAACCUGGACUGGGGCAGAGCAUAAGGCCUGUUUGAGGGACUUGUUUCUGAAGACCAUUCUUCACAAAGCCAUUCGGAAGAACCCAGGAUGCCAUGGAUAAGGGGGUCCAGAUUCAGGUCACCCUUUAGCUGAAAGGGGCCUCCGAUUGUGAAGGCGGGAGAAGGUGGCGGACAGGGGAGAGGGAUCCGCUGCAGUGAGGGUCAGCAUCAAGUCUCGGACCAUUUAUCUCAAAACCAGCCUCUACCCCCAAGCCACAAGACUGAUCCAACAGCUGAACCCUGGACUGACUCCUGCACCCUACCACACACUUACCAUUUAUUCAUAUUCUGUACACACUUAAAUCACUUUAGUCUACCAGACCAAUGAAAUAGUUAUGUCACCUAACUGCACUACGUAGAUAUACUUUCAUUAUAAUUCUAUGCUGAUACUGCACUGUAGUUAUUAGGCCUAAGCACAUGGGCAAAAAAAUGUCCAUACUAUAUGAAUGUAGGCUAUUUUGGUUUUAAUCUUAAGGCUAUUUUGGUUUGAUCUUAUUCUUAUUUACAUCUUAUUUUCUUUGAUCUGCAUGCUUCUUUUGCACUUGUUUUUAUUGUUUUAUUGUUAGUACAUCACAUAGUAAAGGAACUAUAACACAUUGAUUACUGUCAGUUUUGUCGCCAUUGCGCUGUGUGAGAAGCCUAUCUAUAUUAUUAUUCUUUCAAAUGGACAUGGCAUCCAAUCUAUCUUAAAUAAUAAAAGUAAAUAAAUAAAUAAGUGGAGAAAGGGAGUAGGCAUGCCGCUGGCUUGAUGCUGAAAAAGUGCCGCGCCUCCGGCUCUCAGCUGUAGUGUCGCCGGGCGGGUGAAGGGCGG